UACGGAGGAUGCAAGCGUUAUCCGGAAUGAUUGGGCGUAAAGCGUCCGCAGGUGGCGAUGUAAGUCUGCUGUUAAAGAGUGAGGCUCAACCUCAUAAGAGCAGUGGAAACUACAUAGCUAGAGUACGUUCGGGGCAGAGGGAAUUCCUGGUGUAGCGGUGAAAUGCGUAGAGAUCAGGAAGAACACCAGUGGCGAAGGCGCUCUGCUAGGCCGUAACUUACACUGAGAGACGAAAGCUAGGGGAGCGAAUGGG
rnacentral:rRNA from 1 species